UACGUAGGGUGCAAGCGUUGUCCGGAAUUAUUGGGCGUAAAGAGCUCGUAGGCGGCUUGUCGCGUCGACCGUGAAAACUUGGGGCUCAACCCCAAGCCUGCGGUCGAUACGGGCAGGCUCGAGUUCGGUAGGGGAGACUGGAAUUCCUGGUGUAGCGGUGAAAUGCGCAGAUAUCAGGAGGAACACCGAUGGCGAAGGCAGGUCUCUGGGCCGAUACUGACGCUGAGGAGCGAAAGCGUGGGGAGCGAACAGG
rnacentral:rRNA from 1 species